rnacentral:rRNA from 1 species
UGACUNGAGUGCAGAAGGGGAGAGUGGAAUUCCAUGUGUAGCGGUGAAAUGCGUAGAUAUAUGGAGGANCACCAGUGGCGAAAGCGGCUCUCUGGUCUGUCACUGACGCUGAGGCUCGAAAGCGUGGGUAGCGAACAGGAUUAGAUACCCUGGUAGUNCACGCCGUAAACGAUGAGUGCUAGGUGUUAGGCCCUUUCCGGGGCUUAGUGCCGGAGCUAACGCAAUAAGCACUCCGCCUGGGGAGUACGACCGCAAGGUUGAAACUCAAAGGAAUUGACGGGGGCCCGCACAAGCGGUGGAGCAUGUGGUUUAAUUCGAAGCAACGCGAAGAACCUUACCAGGUCUUGACAUCCCGAUGCUAUUCUUAGAGAUAGGAAGUUACUUCGGUACAUCGGAGACAGGUGGUGCAUGGUUGUCGUCAGCUCGUGUCGGGAGAUGUUGGGUUAAGUCCCGCAACGAGCGCAACCCUUAUUGUUAGUUGCCAUCAUUAAGUUGGGCACUCUAGCGAGACUGCCGGUAAUAAACCGGAGGAAGGUGGGGAUGACGUCAAAUCAUCAUGCCCCUUAUGACCUGGGCUACACACGUGCUACAAUGGUCGGUACAACGAGUUGCGAGCCGGUGACGGCAAGCUAAUCUCUGAAAGCCGAUCUCAGUUCGGAUUGGAGGCUGCAACUCGCCUCCAUGAAGUCGGAAUCGCUAGUAAUCGCGGAUCAGCACGCCGCGGUGAAUACGUUCCCGGGCCUUGUACACACCGCCCGUCACACCACGAGAGUUUGUAACACCCGAAGUCGGUGAGGUAACCUUUUA